rnacentral:rRNA from 1 species
GAUGAACGCUGGCGGCGUGCCUAAUACAUGCAAGUCGAGCGAACGGACGAGAAGCUUGCUUCUCUGAUGUUAGCGGCGGACGGGUGAGUAACACGUGGAUAACCUACCUAUAAGACUGGGAUAACUUCGGGAAACCGGAGCUAAUACCGGAUAAUAUUUUGAACCGCAUGGUUCAAAAGAGCAAGACGGUCUUGCUGUCACUUAUAGAUGGAUCCGCGCUGCAUUAGCUAGUUGGUAAGGUAACGGCUUACCAAGGCAACGAUGCAUAGCCGACCUGAGAGGGUGAUCGGCCACACUGGAACUGAGACACGGUCCAGACUCCUACGGGAGGCAGCAGUAGGGAAUCUUCCGCAAUGGGCGAAAGCCUGACGGAGCAACGCCGCGUGAGUGAUGAAGGUCUUCGGAUCGUAAAACUCUGUUAUUAGGGAAGAACAUAUGUGUAAGUAACUGUGCACAUCUUGACGGUACCUAAUCAGAAAGCCACGGCUAACUACGUG